UACGUAGGGUGCGAGCGUUAAUCGGAAUUACUGGGCGUAAAGCGUGCGCAGGCGGUCUGUUAAGACAGAUGUGAAAUCCCCGGGCUUAACCUGGGAACUGCAUUUGUGACUGGCAGGCUAGAGUAUGGCAGAGGGGGGUAGAAUUCCACGUGUAGCAGUGAAAUGCGUAGAGAUGUGGAGGAAUACCGAUGGCGAAGGCAGCCCCCUGGGCCAAUACUGACGCUACAUGCACGAAAGCGUGGGGAGCAAACAGG
rnacentral:rRNA from 1 species